AUGCAGCGCCGCGGUAAUACCGGCAGCUCAAGUGAUGGCCACUCUUAUUGGGCCUAAAGCGUCCGUAGCUGGCCGCGCAAGUCCGUCGGGAAAUCCACCUGCCCAACAGGUGGGCGUCCGGCGGAAACUGUGUGGCUUGGAACCGGAAGGCUCAGAGGGUACGUCCGGGGUAGGAGUGAAAUCCCGUAAUCCCGGACGGACCACCGAUGGCGAAAGCACUCUGAGAAGACGGCUUCGACAGUGAGGGACGAAAGCGAGGGUCUCAAACCGGAUUAGAUCCCUUGUAGUCC
rnacentral:rRNA from 1 species